UCCCGCUGUUGGAAAGGUCUGGGGAGGGAUACCAGAGCACGGUGAGGAGCAGGCGGGGCAGUGUGUUCCUGGCUCCUUUACUGAGGCUUCUCCGGGGAGAGUCAGGCCACCCCAAAAUUUACCUGUUUCUGAUGUUUCUUGGCCAUGAAUGAAUUUCCAUCUUUGACCCCUAUGGGGUCCUUGGGGACCCAAGUAAACAGAGACCCCCAGAACUCCCCAGAGGAGGUUCCCAUAGUUGCUUCAAAGCCUCGACACAGCCUGGGCAUUCUCCAUGUCUCCUACCAUGUCAGCCACCAAGCUGGGCCCUGGUGGGACUUCACAUCUUGCCGGCAGCGGUGGGACAGGCAGAUCCUCAAAGAUGUCUCCUUGUACGUCGAGAGUGGGCAGAUCCUGUGCAUCUUAGGGAGCUCAGGCUCAGGGAAAACCACGCUGCUGGAUGCCAUGUCCGGGAGGCUGCGGCGCACAGGGACCUUCCUUGGGGACGUGUUUGUUAACGGCCAGCCAUUGCGCAGGGAGCAGUUCCAGGACUGCUUCUCCUAUGUCCAGCAGAGUGACACACUGCUGAGCAACCUGACCGUGCGGGAGACUCUACGCUAUGCGGCACUGCUGGCUGUGCGCCAGGGCUCCCCGGGGUUUUUCCAGAGAAAGGUGGACGCAGUUAUGGUGGAAUUGAGUCUGAGCCAUGUGGCAGAUCGACUGAUUGGCACCUGCAAUCUUGGGGGAAUUUCCAAUGGCGAGCGGCGCCGGGUCUCCAUUGCAGCCCAGCUCCUCCAGGAUCCCAAGUUCAUGCUGUUUGAUGAGCCUACCACAGGCCUGGACUGCAUGACAGCAAAUCAAAUCAUCCUCCUCCUGGCAGAGCUGGCUCACAGGGACCGCAUUGUGAUUGUCACCAUCCAUCAGCCACGCUCUGAGCUCUUCCAGCUCUUUGAUAAAAUCGCCAUUCUGAGCUACGGAGAGCUGGUUUUCUGUGGGACACCAGCAGAAAUGCUUGAUUUCUUCAGUGGUUGCAGUUACCCUUGUCCCGAACAUUCAAACCCUUUUGACUUUUAUAUGGACCUGACAUCAGUGGAUACCCAAAGCAAAGAACGGGAAAUAGAAACCUACAAGAGAGUUCAAAUGAUUGAAUCUGUCUACAAAGAAUCAGCAAUUUAUCGCAAAACCUUGGAAAAUAUUGAAAGAACAAAACACCUGAAAACAUUACCAAUGGUUCCUUUCAAAACCAAAGAUUCUCCUGGAGCUCUCUCUAAACUGGAUGUUCUCUUGAGGAGAGUGACAAGGAACUUAAUGAGAAAUAAGCUGGCGGUGAUGAUGCGUCUUGUUCAGAAUCUGAUCAUGGGUUUGUUCCUCAUCUUCUACCUUCUGCGGGUGCCAAGCGAUGUGCUGAAGGGCGCUGUCCAGGACCGCGUGGGGCUCCUGUACCAGUUAGUGGGUGCCACCCCAUACACAGGCAUGCUGAACGCUGUCAAUCUGUUUCCUGUGCUGCGAACUGUCAGCGACCAGGAGAGCCAAGAUGGCUUGUACCAGAAGUGGCAGAUGCUGCUGGCUUAUGUGCUGCAUGCGCUCCCCUUCAGUGUCCUUGCCACCAUGAUAUUCAGCAGUGUAUGCUACUGGACUCUGGGCUUAUAUCCCGAGGUUGCCAGAUUUGGAUAUUUCUCUGCUGCUCUCUUGGCCCCCCACUUAAUUGGUGAAUUUCUAACUCUUGUGCUACUUGGUAUGGUCCAAAACCCAAAUGUGGUCAACAGCAUAGUGGCUCUGCUCUGCAUUGCUGGGAUACUUGUGGGCUCUGGAUUAGUAAGAAACACAGAAGAAAUGUCCAUUCCUUUAAAAAUCUUCAGUUAUUUUACAUUCCAAAAAUACUGCUCUGAGAUUCUUAUAGUCAAUGAGUUCUAUGGACAGAAUUUCACUUGUGGCAGCUCAAAUGGUUCUGUGACAACUAAUCCAAUGUGUGUCUUCACUCAAGGAAUUACAUUUAUUGAGAGAAUCUGUCCGGGUGCAACAUCCAGAUUCACAACAAACUUUCUGGCUCUAGAGCAAACCGAGAGAACAGGGCUGGUCACACAGGUCAUAUCACAAAGAAUGACUGGUGUGAUAAAGAACUCACGAUGACCACUAGACCUUCAAUACGCCUGUCAUGGGAAGUCAAAAUAAUAUGAUUUAAUUCUCUAAAGGAAGAGUAGGGUCCCUGAAGGUGAAAAAUUAGUGCUGAGAAAAAUACCCUAGUCACUGCUCCUGUGGAUGGCUGUGUUCAGGUUACCCUUACAACAAUGUGACGGCCCAAGUGCCAGAGCUCUACAAAUCCCACCGGAGGGGCUGUCAGGGCAUUCAGUUUAUAAUGCUUGCUGAUAUAAAAUUUGGGUUCUGCACAGUGUCUCAUUUCAAAGAUCUGAGAAAAUUUUAAGUUUCAGGUUAUGAUGAAUUUACCAGCUCUUGCAUUCUUAUAUCAGACUUUUGUAUCACAAAUGGCACUAGCUGGGCAUCUGUGGAACACAGUCCAUUUUUAACCACUUUCCUAAGAGAUCCUGUGUUUGCAUCCUUUCAUACUGGGUAGUCCUGUAUUUUUCUGGUACAAGAAAAGUUUAUCUGAAUUUUCUAAAUAAAUCCACAAACAAAAGAAUAUUGUGACAUUCUCUCCCUAGCAAGGUAAGAAUCACUAUCCAUCUUCAACAUAAACUGGAAAACCCAAAAAGGAUACGUGAACAUUAUGUCAUC